rnacentral:rRNA from 1 species
GGCGAACGGGUGAGUAACACGUGAGUAACCUGCCUUAGACAUUGGGAUAGCCUCGGGAAACCGGGAUUAAUACCAAAUAAAAUCAUAAUGACACAUGUCAUAACGAUCAAAACUCCGGUGGUCUAAGAUGGACUCGCGUCCCAUUAGCUAGUUGGUAGAGUAAAAGCCUACCAAGGCGACGAUGGGUAGCCGGCCUGAGAGGGUGAACGGCCACAUUGGAACUGAGAAACGGUCCAA